rnacentral:lncRNA from 1 species
AUGUACAGAAUGAGACCAACAGUUUCAAAGACUGAAGACAAGGGAAAAGGCGUUCAAGCCUCACCCUCAGACAGAUACUCUCAGACAGUAUUAGGUAACCUUCAUUUUAAGCCACAGACUAUCACAGAACAAAAUAAUUUAGAAAAAAUAAAUUUUGGAAAGCAUAAUUUAAUAUUUUUCCCACCAUCAAAUAUUUCAUUUAGAGUUUUNNN